CUGGGGAAGGGGCGGAGGUGGCUUUCACACCUAGUUUGUUAGGAUUUUUGUUUUGUUUUUUACUCUGGUGCGUUUACCCCCUAUGUUUGGUUCGUUUGAACAAGUGUGAACACCAUCUGCACUCUGAUGUGCACUACACAAGCGCACAGUUAGUUGAGGUGGUAUGUACAUGUAGGUAGAGUUAUUAAAGUGACUAUACAUAGAUGACAAAAGAGACCAGCGGUGGUGUAAAGAGGGGGGGAGGGGGCAUUGCAAAUAGUUUGGGUAGCCAUUUGACUAGAUGUUCAGGAGUCUUAUGGCUUAGGGGUAGAAGCAGUUUAGAAGCCUCUUGGACCUAGACUUGGAGCUUUGGUACAACUUGCCUUGCGGUAGCAGAGAUAACAGUCUAUUACUAGGGUGGCUGGAGUCUUUGACCAUUUUUAGGGCCUUCCUCUGACACCGCGUGGUAUAGAGGUCCUGGAUGGCAGGAAGCUUGGCCCCAGUGAUAUACUGGGUCGUUCGCACUACCCUCUGUAAUGCCUUGUGGUCGGAGGCCGAGCAGUUGCCGUACCAGGCAGUGAUGCAACCAGUCAGAAUGCUCUCGAUGGUGCAGCUGUAGAACCUUUUGAGGAUCUGAGGACCAUGCCAAAUCUUCUCAGUCUCCUGAGGGGGAAUAGGUUUUGUCGUGCCCUCUUCACGACUGUCUUGGUGUGCUUGGACCAUGUUAGUUUGUUGGUGAUGUGGACACCAAGGAACUUAAAGCUCUCAACCUGCUCCACUGCAGCCCCGUCAAUGCUCGGCCCUCUUUUUCCUGUAGUCCACAAUCAUCUCCUUUUUCUUGAUCACGUUGAGGGAGAGGUUGUUGUCCGGGCACCACACGGCCAGGUCUCUGACCUCCUCCCUAUAGGCUGUCUCGUCGGUGAUCAGGCCUAUCACUGUUGUGUCAUCUGCAAACUUAAUGAUGGUGUUGGAGUCGUGCCUGGCCAUGCAGGUGAGCAGGGAGUACAGGAAGGGACUGAGCAUGCACCCCUGAUGGGCCCCUGUGUUGAGGAUCAGUGUGGCGGAUGUGUUCUUACCUACCCUUACCACCUGUGGGCGGCCCGUCAGGAAAUCCAGGAUCCAGUUGCAGAGGGAGGUGUUUAGUCCCAGGGUCCUUAGCUUAUUGAUGAGCUUUGAGGGCACUAUGGUGUUGAACGCUGAGCUUGGUUGAAAUUGGUUGUUGAUCAUUGUUAGAGAACUGUUUUCAAGUCUUUCCAAAGAUUUUCAAGCAGACUUAAGUUAAAGCUCCCGAGUGGCGCAGAGGUCUAAGGCACUCUCAGUGCGUCACUUCAGUCCCUGGUUCGAAUCCAGUCUGUAUCACAUCCGGCUGUGAUUGGGAGUUCCAUAGGGCGGUGCACAAUUGCCCCAGCGUCGUCCAGGUGUGGCCGGGGUUGGCCAUCAUUGUAAAUAAAAAAAUUGUUCUUAACUGACUAGUUAAAUAAAAUAAAAAUACAAUUUAAAAAAAUAACUCAGCCACUCGGGAACAUUCACUGUCUUUUUGGUAAGCAACUCCAAUGUAGAUUUGGUCUUGUAUUUUAGGUUAUUGUCCUGCUGAAUGGUGAAUUCAUCUCCCAGUGUCUGGUAGAAAGCAAACUGAACCAGGUUUUCCUCUAGGAUCUUUCCAGUGCUUAGCUCCAUUCCGUUUAUUUUUUAUUCUACAAAAAAUCACCAGCCCUUAACGAUUACAAGCAUACCUAUAACAUGAUGCAGCCACCACUAUCUUUGAAAAUACGGAGAGUGGUACUCGGUAAUGUGUUUGGGCCAAAUGUAAUACAACUCCUUGUCUAUAGGACAAAAAGUGGGGGGAAAAGCCACAUUUUGUGCAGUAUUACUUUGUUGACUUUUUGUACCAGGAUGCAUGUUUUGUAGUAUUUUUAUUCUGUGCAGGCUUCCUUCUUUUCACCCUGUCAAUUAGGUUAUUAUUGUGGAGUAACUACAAUGUUGUUGAUCCAUCCUCAGUGUUCUAUCACAGCCAUUAAACUCUGUAACUGUUUUAAAGUCACCAUUGGCCUCAUGGUGAAAUCCCUGAGCAGUUUCCUUCCUCUCUGGCAACUGAGUUAGGAAGGACACCUGUAUCUUUGUAGUGACUGGGUGUAUUGAUACACCAUCCAAGUGUAAUUAAUAACUUCACCAUGCUCAAAGGGAUAUUCAAUGUCUGCUUUUUCUAUAUUUACCAUCUACCAAUAGGUUUCCUUAUUUGCGAGGAAUUGGAAAACCUCCCUGUUCUUUGUGGUUGAAUCUGUGUUUGAAAUUCACUGCUCAACUGAAGGACCUUAAAAUGAUCUGUGUGUGUGGGUUACAGUGAUGAGGUAGUCAUUAAAAAAAUAAUGUUAAACACUUAUUGCACACAGUGUGAGUCCAUGCAACUUAUGUGCCUCCUGAACGUAUUUAGGCUUGCAUAACAAAGGGGUUGAAUACUUAUUGACUCAAGACAUUUCAGCUUUUCAUUUUUUUCAUUUUUUAUUAAGUUGUAAAAAUGUAGAGAAACAUCAUUCUACUUCCAGUGACAAAACAUUUUAUUUAAUCAAUUUUAAAUUCAGGUUGUAACACAACAGAAUGUGGAAAAGGUCCAGGGGUGUGAGUACUUUCUCGAAAGCACUGUAUAACACACUUUUCAAUGUAAAUUUGGUUGUGUCAACCAAAAAGUUGUUUAUUGCAGCUUUUAACCAAUGUAUGUCAAAAUAAAUCAUUUAGAUCCAAUAAUAAAAACAAAUAAACAGUUCUACGACUGAACAUCAAUAAUCAAGAAAGUGCCUGCCCUGCAACAAAAUGCUGAGUGAUACAGCUUAUUUAAGCAAUAAGGCCCAAGGGGGUGCGGUAUAUGGUCAAUAUACCAGGGCUAAAGGCUGUUCUUAUCCACGACGCAACGCAGAGUGCCUGGAUACAACACUUAGCCGUGGUAAGCUGUUUAGCUGUUCACGAAUAAAAGUUUUUGGAAGUGAUCCAUGCUAAAGGUGCUCCUUAAACCUGACUUAGACCUCAGAUGGAUAAGACCCUUUCUUCUGUAAGGUUGCUGCCCCUAUCAUCGCAAAGCCUAUUUUCAACCUUUCUCUCCUUUGGGGAGGUUCCCAUUGCUUGGAAGGCAGCCACAGUUUGUCCUUUAUUUAAAGGGGGAGAUCAAGCUGAUCCUAACUGUUAUAGGCCUAUUUCUAUGUUGCCCUGUUUAUCAAAAGUGUUGGGAAAACUUGUCAAUAAUCGACUGACUUUCUUGAUGUCUAUAGUAUUCUCUUGGGUAUGCAAUCUGGUUUCCGCUCAGGUUGUGGAUGUGUCACUGCAACCUUAAAGGUCCUCAAUGAUGUCACCAUUGCCCUCGAUUCUAAACAAUAUUGUGCUGCUAUUUUUAUUGACUUGGCCAGCGCUUUUGAUACGGUAGACCAUUCCAUUCUUUUGGGCCGGCUAAGGAGUAUUGAUGUCUCUGAGGGGUCUUUGGCCUGGUUUGUUAACUACCUCUCUCAAAGAGUGCAGUAUAUCAAGUCAGAAAAUCUGCUGUCUCAGCCACUACCUGUCACCGAGGGAGUACCCCAAGGCUCGAUCCUAGGCCCCAGGCUCUUCUCAAUUUACAUCAACAACAUAGCUCAGGCGGUAGGAAUCUCUCGUCCAUUUAUAUGCAGAUGAUACAGUCUUAUACUCGGCUGGACCCUCCCCGGAUUUUGUGUUAAAUGCUCUACAACAAAGCCAACAUGCUUUCUCUGGUAGUCACCUCAUACAAGUACUUGGGAGUAAUGCUGGAUGGUGCACUGUCCUUCUUUCAGCACAUCUCAAAGCUGCAGGCUAAAGUUAAAUCUAGACUUGGUUUCCUCUAUCGUAAUCGCUCCUCUUUCAUCCCAGCUGCCAAACUAACCCUGAUUCAGAUGACCAUCCUACCAAUGCUCGAUUACAGAGACAUAAUUUGUAGAUCGGCAGGUAAGGGUGAUCUCGAGCGGCUAGAUGUUCUUUAACAUUCGGCCAUCAGAUUUAUCACCAAUGCUCCUUAUAGGACACAUCACUGCACUCUAUACUCUUCUGUAAACUGGUCAUCUCUGUAUACCCGUCACAAGACCCACUGGUUGAUGUGUAUUUAUAAAACCAUCUUAGGCCUCACUCCCCCCUAUCUGAGAUAUCUACUGCAGCCCUCAUCCUCCACAUACAACACCCAUUCUGCCAGUCGCAUUCUGUUAAAGGUCCCCAAAGCACACAUAUCCCUGGGUCUCUUCUCUUUUCAGUUCGCUGCAGCUAGCAACUGGAACGAGCUGCAACAAACACUCAAACUGGACAGUUAUCUCCAUCGCUUCAUUCAAAGACUCAAUCAUGGACACUCUUACUGACAGUUGUGGCUGCUUUGUAUGAUGUAUUGUUGUCUCUACCUUCUUGACCUCUGUGCUGUUGACUUUGCCCAAUGUUUGUACCAUGUUUUUGUGCUGUUGUGUUGCUACCAUGCUGUGUUAUGUUUUGCUGUUAUGCUGUUGCCUUAGGUCUCUUUUUAUAUAGUGAUGUGUGUUUUGUCCUAUAUAUUUAAUUUUUCUAAUUCCAGGCCCCCGUCCCCGCAGGAGGCCUUUUGCCUUUUGGUAGGCCGUCAUUGUAAAUUAGAAUUUGUUCUUAACUGACUUGCCUAGUUAAAUAUAGGUUAUAAAAAAAGCUCAGUCAAGCACAAUCAUACGGCCUCCCGAGUGGCGCAGUGGUCUAAGGCACUGUAUCGCAGUGCUAGUUGUGCCACUAGAGAUUCUGGGUUCGAGUCCAGGCUCUGUCGCAGUCGGCCGCGAUCGGGAGACCAAUGGGGUGGCGCAGAAUUGCCCCAGCGUCAUCCGGGUUAGGGGAGGGUUUGGCCGGCAGGGAUGUCCUUGUUCCAUCGUGCACUUGCCACUCCUGUGGUGGGCCGAGCGCAGUGCACGCUGACACGGUCGCCAGGUGUACGGCGUUUCCUCCGACACAUUGGUGCGGCUGGCUUCCGGGUUAAGUGGGCAUUGUGUCAAGAAGCAGUGCGGCUUUGUUGGGUUGUGUUUCGGAGGACGCACUGCUCUCGACCUUUGCCUCUCCCGAGUCCGUACGGGAGUUGCAGCGAUGAGACAGGACUGUAACUACCAAUUGGAUAACUGGGAUAAAUUGGGGAGGAAAAGGGGUAAAAAUUAUAAAAUUAUAAUAAUCAUUAGGUGAGACACAAAAUUUCAGCUGGCCUUUUAAGGGAAGGGCUGUUAACAUGGUAACUUGGGCACUCCCUGGUCUGUGAUUUAAAAUAGAAUCUCAGACUGCAAUGUCUUCCUAGCAGCAGACAGUUGCAACAAACUCAAACUAACAUCGAAAAAGUAUGUGAACAAACUGAUUUAACUGGCCAAGAAACACGAGAACAAAGUCACACUUUAGUAGCCUUUCUUGUCAUUUCGACCUGCUUCUUUCCUAAACGUGGGCUUUGGAUUUUUUUUUAAUUUUUAUUCCCAAAUGCUCUGUGUGACCACCUGCCAACGUGGCUGGUGGAAUAUUACAUUCAUACAAAAUCUACCCUCAUUUGGCUGGUGUUAAUUUCCGACCCUGGUGACAAUAUUAUCAAAUUGAGAAUGAAGAGACUGAUGACAAUGCAUUGACUAAGAAGGGAACGGAGCUUACCAAAUAGCACUUCUUUCAUAUCCUCCUACAGAAGUCGAUGCAGGACAGACGUUUUGAUUGCUAUACCCCAUCGGAAAGAGAAGAUUCCAAGGUUUCUAAUGAACCUAUUUUUGCCAAACAACUCUACAAAUUGUGCUGAUGGUCUCUCUGUUUCAUAACUCUUUCUAGAAUAACCAUGGCUCCAUGCCCAUGUGAGUACCGGUUACAAUCAGCAACAGCUAUUUGGGAUUUUAUUUUUCUGUUCUAUUCCAUUAUAUGUGUACUGUAAAAUAUGUGUUGACUGUGGUAGGGCAUGGCACAGCCAUAGAUUUGCAUGGCACAGCCAUGCACAGAUAAAUACAAUUAUGUAAUCACUAAUUGUGAAUGAAGAACAGGGUGGGCCAUUCUAUUAUAUUAGUAUUUUCUAAUUAUACUCUCAAAACAGUUGACCCUUUACCAGUCCACCAAAUCCAAGCAGUCUUAUUAGUUUGCUCUAUGCCUACUUGGAGUACACAGUGAAAGUGUGUGUCAUUUACAACGAGAAGACCAAGACGAAUGGGUGGACAUGCUACAAGAUUUGAAUGAAAACGACUUGGAUGGCGGGGAAGAAAUGGAUCGUGACCAUCUGUGAUUAUCCUUCUGAUUUGUGCUGAACGGCUUUCCAUAUCUGGGAAAAUAUCCAUAUCGGGCAGCAGGUGGGCGAGUGUUGGGUAAUGUGAUGAUGCUUGUGGGAUCUUACAUUGGCAAGGGGCGAAAUGUCACCAUGGACAAUUUCUUCAUUGACGAACAAGUUGCUUGCAAGAAAACAAGCCCGGUUGGCACCAUGAACAAAGGAGAUGGGAGCUCCCUCCCUUAGUGCAAAAUAAGGCAACUGCACAGUAACAGUUCCCCACAACCUAGUUAAAUAAAGGUUAAAUAAAGAAAUAUUCAAACAGUGCUUCAGAAUGGCAAGCCAACACUCACACAUUACCAAGGCAAGAAAUAACAUUUGAGUCUUGAGCACCAUGCAUCCGACAGACGACAGUUGCCAUUGAUCGGGACACAACGAGAAAACCGGAGACUAUUACACACGACAACGAACAAAGGUCGGUGUGGAUGUUUUGGAUCAGAUGGCACGUCUGUACUCGGUGAAAGGUGGAACUCGCCGCUGGCUUGCUGCUGUGUUCUACAACCUGCUUGACUUGGCUGCUGUCAACGCACACGUGGUGUUCAAGCAGUAAUUGAACAAAACCAUGAGCAGGAGAGACUUUAUCUGGCACACGGGCUACGUGAGAGACAUAUGAGGGCCAAGGCAGCAGCAAAGAUUCCACGAGAGCCAUUGCGCAAGCAAAAUUGCAUACAGCUCCCGGGGGAAGAGAAACUGCCAGGUGGGCAGAUGCACUCGGAACAGAACCCGCGACACCCGUUUCAGCUGAAAGUGACUUGUUUGUGGGAAGUGUUGCAAGUGAAAGUGACAACGAUUUGUGUCGACUGUUAGGACAAGGGAUUGUUAUCUCAUUUAGGACAAGGGAUUGUUAUCCCUAAAUGAGAUCCAACUGUUGCGUGAAGACGCACACCAUACUGUAAGCACGAGCGAAGCAAAAAAUAAUGUGUCCAAUAACUAUUAUAUAACUAAUAUACUAUUUUGACCGCUGUCAUAUGGACACUUAAAUUCAUUAUAAUUCCAUUAUAACUUUUGUGCUGAUUUUCACUAUUCACACCCACACUUGGCACUUAUACUGAUGUUUAGGCUACUGAUAUUUUCUUCAUUGACUGCGCAUCUUGCUGACCGUGCGUCUUGGUUUGGGUAUUUUUAUUUGUUUUGUCAUUUGUUAAAAUGAGCUUUUACUGUGUUCCAACGUAUAAUAUUUUUGAUUCAUAGUUGUAACAAAUAAAAUGUAUUUGACACUUUAAA